GAUGAACGCUGGCGGCAUGCCUAAUACAUGCAAGUCGAACGAGAGGGAGGAAAGCUUGCUUUCCUAAAUCUAGUGGCGAACGGGUGAGUAACACGUAGGUAACCUGCCCAUGUGCCCGGGAUAACUUCUGGAAACGGAUGCUAAAACCGGAUAGGUAGCAGACAAGCAUUUGACUGCUAUUAAAGUGGCUAAGGCCAUGAACAUGGAUGGACCUGCGGUGCAUUAGCUAGUUGGUGAGGUAACGGCCCACCAAGGCGACGAUGCAUAGCCGGCCUGAGAGGGCGGACGGCCACAUUGGGGACUGAGACACGGGCCCAAACUCCUACGGGAGGCAGCAGUAGGGAAUUUUCGUCAAUGGGGGGAACCCUGAACGAGCAAUGCCGCGUGAGUGAGGAAGGUCUUCGGAUCGUAAAGCUCUGUUGUAAGAGAAAAACGGCACUCAUAGGGAAUGAUGAGUGAGUGAUGGUAUCUUACCAGAAAGUC
rnacentral:rRNA from 1 species